rnacentral:hammerhead_ribozyme from 1 species
GUACUGAUGAAGAGUCCCAAACCAGGACGAAACAGCUGCCCAGUAC